AUGUCCGCCAUGCUCUGCUCCCUGAUCUUCCCCGAUGGUGACGUCAGCGUGUUUUCCCGGAGGUUCCAGAAGGUUCUGGUUCCCGUGGCGAAGGAGGCGUCGGCGGCCCUCACCAGCCUGCAGGCCUUCCUCAACUACCGCUUCCUGUUCGACCUCUGGUGGAGCCACGCCCCCUCAGCCACCUCAGCCAAUCAGGAGCUGCCUAAUGUGGCCGUGGCCGGGGAGGCGGUUGCCGAGACGGCGGUAACCGAGACGGCGGUAACCGAGACGACGGUAACCGAGACGGCGGUUACCGAGACGGCGGUUACCGAGGCGACGGCGCUGAGCAGGCGUGCGGCGGUGCUGCUGUCGGAGCCCCACGCAGCGUACCAGGCCACCCAGCGGGACGUGGCCCGCGUCCAGGAGCGGCUGACCGGCCUAGUGCUCCACCACGCCCGGGCCCACCAGCAGGGGGCCCAGGACCAGAGCAUGGACCAGAGCCAGGACCAGGGGUACGCUGGGGACUGGAACCAGGCUUUAGAGCUAGAGGGGAGACAUGUAUCUGGGAGUGUUACUGGUUCUAAACCCAGUAUCUAUGGUUCUAACAGUGGGAUGGUUACUGGUUCUAAACCCAGUAUCUAUGGUUCUAACAGAGGGAUGGUUACUGGUUCUAAACCCAGUAUCUAUGGUUCUAACAGAGGGAUGGUUACUGGUUCUAAACCCAGUAUCUAUGGUUCUAACAGUGGGAUGGUUACUGGUUCUAAACCCAGUAUCUAUGGUUCUAACAGAGGGAUGGUUACUGGUUCUAAACCCAGUAUCUAUGGUUCUAACAGAGGGAUGGUUACUGGUUCUAAACCCAGUAUCUAUGGUUCUAACAGAGGGAUGGUUACUGGUUCUAAACCCAGUAUCUAUGGUUCUAACAGAGGGAUGGUUACUGGUUCUAAACCCAGUAUCUAUGGUUCUAACAGAGGGAUGGUUACUGGUUCUAAACCCAGUAUCUAUGGUUCUAACAGAGGGAUGGUUACUGGUUCUAAACCCAGUAUCUAUGGUUCUAACAGAGGGAGUGUUACUGGUUCUAAACCCAGUAUCUAUGGUUCUAACAGAGGGAGUGUUACUAAUUCUAAACCCAGUAUCUAA
rnacentral:lncRNA from 1 species